rnacentral:sRNA from 1 species
UGAUCUGAUGUCUUCCCUAAUAAUAGCC